UAUCUAUCCUCCCAUUUGUAAUCAACAAGAGAACUGUACUUGGAUUUACCAUACAGAUUUCAAAGAAAUGGACCCUUCUUUUUGUUUCAUCUUCUUUGUCUGCAUAAUUGUCACUCUUGAAGCAAUCACAAUAAGCAAAAUGGGGUUUCCUGACAAGUUUAUAUAUUUCUGAGUAAGCUAUUUUUGCGGAUCCCAAUUGUAACUUACUGGAAGGAUCAAGCACAUCUUUUGGACUUUGGUCACGUUGGUCAUCAUUAUUUAUUUGUUUCUCUAGAAGACUAUCAGGUUUAGCCAUAUUUGCAUCUUUUUUAUCACUAUUAGCAAAAAUAGGUGUUCGGGAACCUGAAGUACUGAUCAGUUCCUUCAAGAAAAGUGUCUCAAAUCAGCAACAAAAAACUGCAGCUCUUAAGUUGUGCACUAUUUUUUUUUAUUUACUCAUUGUUUUUAUUUACCUUUUCCACCAAUGUGGCCAAAAUAGUAUUAAUUGUAUUUUUCUUUUUUCAAAA